CCUCCUUCUCCUCUUCCUCUUUCUCUCCAUCCUCCACAAUUCAAUCCUUCUCUUCCUCCUCCUCCCUCUCCUCCUCCUCCUCAUCCGAGGAAACAACCACCUCAAAACCCUCCUCAGCUACCUCCUCAGAUGAGGGAGGACCCUCCUCUCUUCCCAUCAGAUCCACUUGAGCUCCAAAGUCCUGCAUCUCCUGAUCUGCUGCCUCAGAUUCUACCCCUGCAGCAAGCAAAUUAGCAUGCCCAGAAAGCAAUGCUGCCUCCUCAAUGUCCUGAAUCAUUGAGCGCAUACAAGAUCUAAACAAGGCCCCAAUGCCCUGAUUCUCUUCAGAAGCCUGCUAAUCAAUUAGACAACAGAAUCAUUACUAAAAAGCAUUACCAAUGAAUAUAUUCAAAAUACAACCUACCAGCUUGGGCUUCUUUGCCUCGCGGGCAAACACAUCUUCAAUCUCCUCCUGACAGCACUUUUUCGCAGCCGCCAUCUUCUCAGCCCUCUCUCUCUCCACCUUGGCCUCAAACCAUUCCCGUGAGCGCUCCUGGUCCCAGUGCUGCUGCAUGAGCAACUCCACUGCUUCCUUCUCCAACUUCUCAUGCGUUGGGCCAUCGGCAUCAUUUCUUUCAUAAUAUUAGUCAAAUUCCAGCAGAAGUGU
rnacentral:sRNA from 1 species